rfam:Halanaerobium praevalens DSM 2228, complete genome.
AGAUCCUUUUAAAUCAGUCCAGAGAGGCUGGCAAAGGUCAAGAUAUAAGCCAAAAAUUAUAUUUUUUAAUUUUUUGGCUAACUAUGUCAGCUUUAACCUUCAAACCAUUCUUUCUGGUAUGAAGGUUUUUUUUA